GGCGAGGUAGCUCAGAUGGUUAGAGCGUCGGAUUCAUAACCCGGAGGUCGGGGGUUCGACUCCCCCCCUCGCUA
rnacentral:tRNA from 1 species